rnacentral:rRNA from 1 species
AUUGAACGCUGGCGGCAGGCUUAACACAUGCAAGUCGAGCGGGGUGAUGGUGCUUGCACUAUCACUUAGCGGCGGACGGGUGAGUAAUGCUUAGGAAUCUGCCUAUUAGUGGGGGACAACAUCUCGAAAGGGAUGCUAAUACCGCAUACGUCCUACGGGAGAAAGCAGGGGAUCACUUGUGACCUUGCGCUAAUAGAUGAGCCUAAGUCGGAUUAGCUAGUUGGUGGGGUAAAGGCCUACCAAGGCGACGAUCUGUAGCGGGUCUGAGAGGAUGAUCCGCCACACUGGGACUGAGACACGGCCCAGACUCCGACGGGAGGCAGCAGUGGGGAAUAUUGGACAAGGGGGGGAACCCUGAUCCAGCCAUGCCGCGUGUGUGAAGAAGGCCUUAUGGUUGUAGAGCACUUUAAGCGAGGAGGAGGCUCUUUUGGUUAAUACCCAAGAUGAGUGGACGUUACUCGCAGAAUAAGCACCGGCUAACUCUGUGCCAGCCGCCGCCGUAA